rnacentral:rRNA from 1 species
UACGUAGGGACCAAGCGUUGUUCGGAUUUACUGGGCGUAAAGGGCGCGUAGGCGGCAUGACAAGUCACUUGUGAAAUCUCUGGGCUUAACCCAGAACGGCCAAGUGAUACUGUCACGCUAGAGUGCAGAAGGGGCAAUCGGGAAUUCUUGGUGUAGCGGUGAAAUGCGUAGAUAUCAAGAGGAACACCAGUGGCGAAGGCGGCGACCUGGGUAGAUACUGACGCUGGAGGCGCGAAAGCGUGGGGAGCAAACAGG